AGGGUGUAAACGCUGCAGACUUGGUGUUGGGAACCCUUUGGGGGUGCUCAGUGCCGGAGAGAAGUUGUUAAGUCUGCUACUUGGGGAGUACGUCCGCAAGGAUGAAACUUAAAGGAAUUGGCGGGGGAGCACCGCAACGGGAGGAGCGUGCGGUUUAAUUGGAUUCAACGCCGAAAAACUCACCAGCAGCGACUGUUACAUGAAAGUCAGGUUGAUGACCUUACUAGAUUUUCAGAGAGGUGGUGCAUGGCGUCAGUGACU
rnacentral:rRNA from 1 species